AUUUUACUAGCCGGUCUAGCCGGUUGGAAAAAGAAAUUUGAGAUUUUUGCAACGUAGAGAGGGAGAGAGUGAAUGAUGCCAUGGGCGGAAGUACGACUCCGUCAAGCGUAUUCAGUUUCCACAGAAAAUGAUAUUUACC
ensembl:ncRNA K01B6.7 ncRNA